rnacentral:lncRNA from 1 species
AGAGAAUACAGUAGAUAUAACAGUGAAUCCACUUGUCUGGCAAGAAGUAUCAGUUGGGAAAUUCGAGAACAAAUUUCCAUAUGGAGACAUCAAAUUCAAAUUCUCUGGUGUUUCUGGUGAUACCUGGAGGGGUCUGCUCCUCAAGGGCGUCCACAUUACCUCGUCCUCCUAAUCGAACCACCAACAAAAUUAAUAAAUAGUCUACUUAGCAGCCGCGAAUCAAAUUCUAUGUUUAGAUGGUUGUUAGGUAGUUGAUUAUCAUAUGCAUGCAACUUAUGUAAUAAAAUGAUUACUGCUGGUUGUUAGCUGCCUUGGCAUACUACCAAGUUGAUUAAUGGGCAAAAUCUACCUACAUAUAUAUGUUUUAAAUUUUAACAUCUCUCCUGAUCAAAUUAGUCUAUUUUUUUUGCAUUUUAUGAUCUAAAGAAAGAAUUAAUUUUGACAAAACUGUUAAAUCAUGGUAGUUAAUUAAUACAAACAAAUUUUUUGUAAAUUGAAAUUAUAAUCAUUAAACUUCACAAUAGAUUAUAGAAAGAUCUCAAUAACGCCCGCAAUGGUUGGUUCAGCUGGUUAAAAGAGGGGACUUGUAUCCUCUUGGUCACAUGUUUGGGUUUGGCUGCUUUCAUACCCAUACCUAAUUCCCCGUACCACCCAACCAAACGACCCCUUAAACUUAGAACAUGCAAAUUUUGAACUUAGAACAUACAAAUAUCAAAAUGUUCAUGGAUAUGAAAUAAGUCCAAAAUACUCGCUGAGAAGGAGGAACAAAUUAAACACUUGCACAAACAGCUAUGUUAACCAUUUUUUUUCUACAAUAUAUACACAUCAUAUUCAUGGGUAAAGACGACAACGUAUUCAUUACUCGCGUGUUUGACGAAAUUAGACGGUUAGCCGAAAGAUGGUUAUCGGUUUAAGGACGUAAGGGUGACCUUGCUUUUUCAGGGUAAGAAGGGGUAGAGAAAAUGUCUCGAGCCAAUGUUCGAGAAUCAAGCGCUACGGCGCUGAAGUAACCCAUGCCAUACUCUCGGGAAAAGCUCGAACGACCUUCAACAAAAGGGUACCUGUACCUGAAACCGCACAGGUAGGUAGGUAGAGAAUACCUAAGGGCGCGAGACAACUCUCUCUAAGGAACUCAGCAAAAUAGCUCCGUAACUUCGGGAGAAAGGGUGCCUCCUCACAAAGGGAUCGCAAUGAUUCAUAUAAAUCACUUAGUGGUAAAUGCUCAGAAUAAAUACAAAGUUUCUCGAUUUUUUUCAUUAUUGCAUUAUAAUAACAUAUUCUUUUGGGGUUAGUUAUACAUGUAGAAGAUGUAUAUUAAUAUCGUAAUAAUUCUCACUCUCAUGUUCACCUGGAAUCACACAAAACGAUGUGACGUAUUAUGUAAUAUCGCCGAAAUGUAUACCUUAUCAACUUCUAAUGGAUUACUUUUUCUCUCAUCUAACAUUAUUUUCCACAAUUGCGAAUCAAUCCCCAGUGAAAACUUUCGAGCUUUGAGUAGACUAGGUUCAAUAUUAAUUCAUCACACUACAAUGACACUAAUGUUGCGCGACAUGUACAGUACAUAGUUUCUCAAAAUCUGGCUAUGCUAUGCGUAAAUUUGAAGCUUGCUUGGUUUUGUUUCGAUGUGAUUAAAGUUUAAACUUGAGCUAUCAACCAUAGCAGAGCCAUCCAUAGAUUCCUAUAUUAGAAUCUAUUAGAAAGCCAUAUACUUUAUGAUCAGAAAAUAUUCUAGCUAUCUUAAUUCUUGGUGGUGCAGCUUAGCUUUGUUAUAGCGAUUUAUUGGCUUCUGCUUAAGUCAAAUCGUAUAUGCAACUUAAGUACCUCAGCCAAGUUAUUUAUUUCUUACUUUACGUAAUCCUACCUGUAAAACAAUUUUAAGCUCUUUGUACUCAUAACAAGAACACAUAAACUGUUUCGUUUACUGGAGUUAUGAUUACUUUGAGCCUUCUAGUACUCCUCCAAACGUCAACCAGAGUUUCAUUUGUGUUUGCAGUUGAAGGAUUUUAGUCUAAAUUGUUCCCAAAGUUCUGGCACACAGAUUAAUUCAAAUAUGACAGGAAUAAAAGAAUUAAUGCAGGGUCUAUGUCAUAUAAUUAAUGGAAAACUAAGGUCUGAUGAUCGUUCUAUAGUCAUAGAGCUUGUAUGUUCUAUUAUGACAUUGUUUGUGCUUUCGGUGAUCCUGCAACUAUGUAUGCCACCGUAUGGCAUUGAACAUACGUUAACAAAUUGAGCAAAAUCAAUAUCAAACGAAAAAGUUUGCACAAAAAUUGGGGAAACGUCAAUUUAUUGAUAGUGUUGAACAUUUUUUCAGUCGAGUUGAUAAGUUCGGACCUAAUAUAAAUCUCUUAAUUAUCAAUGGCAUAGAUUUGCUCAAGCACUUGCUCGACUUUGGACCGAACAAAAAAGAUAUAUUCGUGUGAGACUAUGAAACAGAAUCUUAAUCUGCAAGAGAUGCUAGAUGUUGAUGAGGAAUUGAUUAGGGAUUUGGAUUAAUCUGGCCAGCGGUGCUAUAAAUAGGACACACUACAUGAAAGUUUACCACAAGGCACAGAAUUCCAAAUACUUACAUAUUUAGUUAUAAGAUGGCUCAAGUAGCAAGGACUGAUGCGGCACAGGCUAUGAAAAUGGGAAAAGAACUCCCUCAUGUUGCUGGCUCAGAGGGGAAGACGGUAUGUCUACUGAAUUAUGACUCUGUAAUUAUAUAUCACAUAUUAAAUGAAGAACAUUACCGUAAUCUUAACUAUUCAUGUCUGGUAUAGCAAGUUGUGCCUUCUAAGGAGCUCCAUUACGCAGACCUUCAAGCAUGGAAAUUCAAGUAAGUACAUAAUAGUGCUGAUGGAGUUGGACUAAUUCUGCUCUAUCCAAUUGAAUUUUCUAAUUCUACUGUAUUAUGUAGUGAUGACACUGCUGAAUUUCUGGGAGGAAGCGAUCCCACAGUCGACGGAACUUACAGUGUGAAAAAUCUUGAAUUGGGAAAGAUGUACGAGGUGUCUUUUUAUAUGUCCAUAAAAAACCUUCCAGUGUCAAAUCAAGUGACACUUACCUUGGAGCUUCCGGGCGGGAAGAAAGAAGAGAAGACAGAAAAAAUUGUAGUAGUUCCACUUGUCUGGGAAGAAGUAUCUGUUGGGAAUUUCCUGAACGUGUAUCCAAGAGGAGACAUCAAAUUCAAAUUCUCUGGUGUUUCUGGUGAUACCUGGAAGGGUCUGCUCCUCAAGGGCGUCCACAUUACCUCUUCCUCCUAAUUGAACCACCGACAAAAAUAAAUACUCUGCUUAACAACUGCGAAUCAAAUUCUAUGUUUAGAUGGUUGUUAGGUAGUUGAUUAACAUAUGCAUGGAACUUAUGUAAUAAAACGACUACUACUGGCCGGUAGGCGGUAGCUGCCUAGCUUGUUGUACUAUCAAGUUGAUUAAUGGGCAAAAUCAUCACUACAACUUACCUGAGUAUGUUUUAAGUUGAUCUAACAUCUCUCUUGGCCUGACUAGUCUAUCUUUUUGCACACGUUUUACUCCCAACUAAAAGCACAUGAAUUAAUAUCAACUCCGAGACAUACACUUGCAAGUGCUUUAGCUACACAAUAUUAUUUUCAUGAUUUUCAUUUCGCGAAUUACAAUAACUAUUCUAUACUUUUAUUCACUGAAAAGUUACAAAAAUAAUAUUUUUGAAUAGGUAGUCAAAGCACUUGGAAGUAUUAGAUCAAGAAUCGAUGUGUUCUAUGAUGAUGAUGACUAGGUAUCUAUCGAACAGUUUGUGCCUGUUUUUCUGUUUAAUGUUUCUGCACAAUUGAUUUCUGCCUAAAACAAACCUGAUCCUCUCAGGUAACAAAUGAAAGAGCUCUCAUUUUUCCAUGGCCUCUAGUACAAUACACCAGAGGACGAUCAUCAGAGAACGAAUAGAUAAGAUGUGAAAACGUUUGACCCUUGAUUAGACUAUACUUAAAUUUGAAGAGUGCUUGCUUUUGUUUCGGACUAAUUAUCAAACUCAUCACUCAAGUCGACAAAAGAUAUCAACUUCAUCACUGAUCUUCACAGGGUCUCACUUGACUCGCUAAACAGAUUUAGCGCUAACAGAAUCAUAGACAGAGUGACUAUGCAGUAAAAAUGGCUGACGGGGCGACAACUAUGGAAUAGAUGGCAAAUGACUAGCCAGUUAAUUGUAAUUUUUUCUAGAUGUUUGUACCAAACAAAAACGUUGACAAAUACUUAUAUUUUUUUUCCAAAAUUAAUAUAUUUAUAUCAUCCUCUCACUUUCUUCAUGACAAUUUUGUUCCACAUUUAAUGAGGGUGCUAACGGGCUGACAAUUUCCCAUGAGCUUCUUCAAAAUCUUCUUUGUACAGCUUACUUGUGAUAUUAACAUUUCAUCAUCCAUUUGCUUCACUUUAAUGUCAAGAUACUGAGACAUAAGCCUAAUAUCAGUCAUCUCAAAUUCUCUUAACUAUGUCUUGCUUAAAUUUCUCAACAUAUUUGGAUUAUUUUCCAUUUUAAAAUUGGAAUUUAAGUAUUUUUUUCGUGUUUCUUUUUCAUUUUAAUUGACUCGGUUCUUCUAAACUUUCUAGUCAAAUCUUGUUUUUUAAUAUUAAAAAUUAGAAUAAAAUAUCCAAUCAACUAAUAAAUUAAUAAGAAAAACAUUCAUAAAUUAUACUCCCUCUGUUUUUUAUUAUUUGACACUUUAACUUUUGACACACACUUUUAAAUCCUUUGACUGGGUUGUUAAAAAUAUUAUUUUUAAUUUUUUUUUUCUGAAUAAAAAUAUAUAAUCAAAAUUUUAGUUCACAAAAAAAUCAAUCAAAAACAAUAUUUUUAACUACUCGGUCAAAGCACUUAAAACUGUGUGGCAGAAGUCAAAACGUCAAAUAAUAAAAAACACAAAGAGUAAAGGGGUAACAAUUAUGCAUCAAAUUGAUCCUAAAUAUGUUAUUCAAAAUAUUAUUAUGUAUUUAAUUUAUUGACACCCCCGUUAGUGUCAAUUCUGGCUUAGAGUUCAAGCCAGAAAGAUGGAUAACUGAACGAGGAGGGAUUAAACAUGAGCCGUCCUACAAAUUUAGUGUCUUUAAUGCAGGGCCAAGAUUGUGUAUAGGUAAGGAUUGUUGUAAAUAUAAAACUAGAAUUAUUACUAUAGAAUAAGAUAGUAAUUGAUAUGUACAAGAGCAGAACUCUCUCAAGAACUACAUUGUACUUUUCUUGUUAUAUUCCUCCUUGUACCUCUAAAAAGAGAUUACAUGCCAUAUUUAAAACAAACGUACUUGACUCCUAAUAGUAUUCUACUACUAUUCUAAUAAAUCUCCUAAAACAAGAUAGACUCAAUAUCUCCUACAAACUCUGUAGAACUCCAACAAACAUCCAACUACUUCAAUCUUAAAUUAAUCCUCCAAAUAAAUAACUAAACAAAUAAUAAUAAUAACUAAAUUUAAGAUUAUUCCAACAAUCACCCCCAUAAUCUUAAAUUUACUUAACAUAAUUUAUGAAGCACUUCUCUUCAUCUGUGAUGCACUUCUCACCACCACCAAUUUGGUUGAUGCACUUUUCAUCAACACCAAUUUGUUGAUGCACUUUUCAUCAACACCCAAUUUACUGGAGCACUUCUCUCCAUCAUCCUGAGCACCAAGGCUUCAGCUUUUUUCUCUAAUUUUAACUUCUACUGGCUAGUGCAAACAGAGUAGAAAGUAGCCCCAUAUGCAUCCCAUACUGCACAUGAUGAUACCUCCCACUUGCCCAUACCGCAUCAAAUCUUUCUCGGCAGCCCUUCUGUUGUAACCACCUUCUCAGCUUGAAUUGCUUCUUGAAAAUCAUAUUAUUAUGCCACAAAGAACCUGGCUCUGAUACCAUGUUGUAAAAUAAAACUAGAAUUAUUACUAUAGAAUAAGAUAGUAAUUGAUAUGUACAAGAGCAGAACUCUCUCAAGAACUACAUUGUACUUUUCUUGUUAUAUUCCUCCUUGUACCUCUAAAAAGAGAUUACAUGUCAUAUUUAAUACAAACGUACUUGACUCCUAAUAGUAUUCUACUACUAUUCUAAUAAAUCUCCUAAAACAAGAUAGACUCAAUAUCUCCUACAAACUCUCUAGAACUCCAACAAACAUCCAACUACUUCAAUCUUAAAUUAAUCCUCCAAAUAAAUAACUAAACAAAUAAUAAUAAUAACUAAAUUUAAGAUUAUUCCAACAAGGAUAUGGCGCUCACUCAAAUGAAGAUGGAUGCCACCGCAAUUAUACAUGAUUACAGUGUUAAGAUGGUUGAAGGUCAUCCGGUAGUCCCCAGGGAUUCUGUCGUCAUGGAAAUGAAAUAUGGUUUAAAAGUAAGGCUAGCUAUAUAAAAGAAGUGGCCACUCGGACCCUUCUAACUAAUGAACCAGUACGAUCGAGUUUGUCGUUACUAUUAAAGCUGGUUGCUUGUAAUGCUAUUGAAUAAAGUGAGCAUACGCUGUGAAUUGUGAUGCCUCACAUUUGUGAUUCGAGUGAGUAUGGUGUUUCAAUAUAAUAUUAUGGGUAUAAAUUAUAUUAUAGUGCAGUGAUCACUUCUACUAACACGAAUUUCCAAUCUGUAAGAGAGAGUGAAUAUGUUAGGGCCGAGAAUGACCAAGAGUCGUCGUAAUUAAAGAAGAAUUGGGAUGACAAAUAUGAAUAUUUUCGAAGCAAGUCGAUGAAAUAGUAAAUAACCCCUAUAUAUAUAAUGUAACCUACGACAUACGUUACCCCUUAUUAUGAUCUUCAGCCAUCGAUAUAAAUUUGUUUAACUUUACUGAAAUACAAGUACAGAGAAAACCUGAAAUCAGCAAGUUAUUCAUCUCAAACCCUAAAGUCAUCCUCAACAUGUAGCCAAUUCUUCAUCAGUAUGUGUUGCUAAAUUUGUAAUAAAAGUUUCAAACUGAAACGAUUGAGAAAUACACCUUAGUUUUUGGUUAUUUUCGACAUGUCAACUCCACUGAAACAUUAUUUCAUGUACAAAUGGAUAACUAUAGACCAAGUAUAAUCUGCAUGUAGUAUAGGUUAAAUGGUAGGUAUAAUGGCGUACAUCUCAUAAUAUGUUGGUCCUGUACAGUUUGUUGAAUACAAGGUUCGGUGGCUUCAGGUUGAUAUGGGUGCCAAAUCAGCUGCAACAGGCUUCAACUUUUCUACUCUAGUUGAAUAGGUUAAAGAAUUCUUCGCCAUAGUGUCCUUUAUUUAAGUCGCACGUGUUAAUUUCUUAUACACCAUUUUGUGUGUCGAGAACGGGUUACGGGUUAUUAUGUUAGUUAUUUAUAAAAAUACAAAUAAUGUUAAAGGUUCAAAUCUCAUCAUUGCAUAUACUAUUUCAUAUUAUUUGAUCUUAAGUUAAAAUUAUACACAUUCGAAUCAAAAGUAUUUAAUUAUUUAUAUUAGUAUUUAAGUUUAUGUGUGUGUGCGAACGGGCAUGACUAAAUUUACAUGCCGAUAAAAUAUCAAUGACUAUAAUUAAAAGAAUAUGGUAAUGACAUAGUGAUGUUCAAACGAAACAAUAUAUUUAGGAAACAAUAGAUGAGGUUCACGUAUAGGUGGAUGAAUUUAGAGCUAAAAUUGCUUGCUCUAGCCAGUAGUUCAUGUUGAGUAGACUUCAGUUGAUAACGCAGUCAAAUAAUCAAAAUAUCAUCCAAGCAAAGUCAGCAGAUUAGGAUUUUUAGUGACCCUUAUCUCAAGGUCAAAACUGUAUCAACUUUACAAGCAUUUGUUCUUUGUAUAGUCGGUGUUUCUUCAUAAUUUGUAAUAAUUCACAUUAUUGUUCUUUGUAUAAUCGGUGUUUCUUAAUAAUUUGUAAUAAAUCACAUUAAAACUUGAUAAAAGUAUAAAUUUUACAGUGGCGGAAUUUGAUCAUAAUAUUAUUCGCACCUAUUUGACUCGUUUUUAUCUCCAGUGGCGGAACCAAGAUUAAGUGUUGGGGGGAUGAACUAAACCAGAACAUAAAUUAAGGGAUAAGUAGUAUGUCUGCGUGUCUUAACCAUCAUGAUAGAAAGAUUUCCUAUACUUUAAAAUCCAGAUUAAUCUUUAUCUGCUCUCACAUCAUAGAUAAAAUUGUCUAACUGAUUUGAUAACAACUCCAGGUCUAGUAAAGAGAAACCCAUCGGAUGAAAUUGUGCAAAGGCAGACCAGUUUUGAGUUAUUGAAACUUGAAAAUUAAUUCCUAGGAUCCAAAGAGCCAAUACAAAGUAGUAGCUCUAUGUUUUCUUCUGUGAAACAGUUAUUCAUCUCUUGGGAAACAGUUACCAUAGCUCUAUGGUUCCUUCUAUAUGUUUCCUUUGUAAAACGGUUCCUUCAAUAGUCAAUGUGUAUGUAUGACUUAUGAAAGCAUGUCCAAAAGCUUCUUCAUAUGGGCUCUUUAGCCAAAAUUUGAAGAAUAUGGAGAUGAAAUGAACUCCAACAAGCUCAGCACCUCUUCAAAAACUUAGGAGUUUUGUUUGCUUCCUCAACAAUGAGGAGCACACUCUCCCUCUUAACUAUAUUUUAUAUUAUUUUUCUUAUAUACAAAGUACUCAACAUGCAUGAUACAAUUUAGAUCAAGUGCCUUCUCUUUUCUUUUUUUGCAAUAAAUCCCUCUCUAUGAUAUUUAUAAUUCAACGGGGGCUAAAAAAAUCAUAUUGACAUCAAUAAUUCAGCGGGGGCUGAAAAAAAAAUAUCCAUUGUUUUUUCGAGGUUAGAGGGGCUCUAGCAUCCCCUAGCCCUCCUCUGGUUCCGCCACUGUUUAUCCCUAAUCGAAUAUUGAAGUUCUACGAAUUUCAUAAGUUACGUAUAUAUUAAAAUUUAGAAAUUUUAGAGGGGGUAAAUAAACAAAAAUUGUAGCAACCUGCAUCUCCAUAAUAGUGAUCACCAAAUUUGAGAUUGAUUUUACGAUUUCCUAGUUCAUAGAUACCAAUAUCAGACACGACCCGAACCCGCAACCCGAUUUAUUGAGAUAAAACCUGAAAGUGAUCCGAAAAUCACCCGAUUGACAUGAAAUGGACCCGAAAUGACCCGAAAUUAGAAUUUCGUUUCUAAUAACUUCAAUUUUUAGUUUUAUUUAAUUUUAGAUGAUUUUAGCUUGACCCGAAAUUGACCCGAUUGCUGACACGAACACGACCCGUUACCCCAAAUUGCCACCUCUGGAUACCAUAAGUUGUAAGCUAACCUGCGCCAUCCUCAUCAUAGAAAUAUACAGUAUGCAGUAGGAUUGCUAUCCAUUGUGAUCAUAAAAAAUAAUAGUAUUAAAAAAUUAAAAUAAUUUUAAAAAUAAAUAUAACAUAGAAUCCAAUAUAAUGCAUACAUGUUUUUUCAUUGUUUGAAAUAAAUCACAAUAAAACUUGAUAUAAUUAUAAAUCAUAUCAAGUAAAUAUAAUAACCAGUGAACUUAUACGCCUCACUAAUCUUAAUUUUUGGCUUUUCCAGUCAUGCCCCAAACAUGAUACUAGUAUAAAGUAAGAAAAUGUGUAUCUUAAUCUUUAACCACAUGCUAGCAUUAACAAAGACAAGAGAGACAAAUAGUUCUUAGUGACAACAAAGCCAAAUGUAUUGUUGGAGAAUAUUCAAGUCCUAUAAAUAUCAUCAGAAGUUACAUAAAUAUUAAAAAUUAGAAAUUUUAGAAGGGGUAAAUAAAUGAAAAUUGUAGCAACCUGCAUCUCCAGAGUAGUGAUUAGCAGAUUUGGAUUUGAUUUUACGAGUUCCCACUUCAUAGAUACCAUAAGUUGUAAGCUGACCUACGCCGUCCUCGUCAUAGAAAUAUAUGCAGUUGGACUUGUAUCCAUUGUGAUCAUCAACUGAUAUACUCAUACCUUCAUUCCAUAGCAAAAUUAUGGAUUCUUUUUCAGGAAGGUUGCUUAUUUCUUUCCAGUAGUAGGGGUAGUAGUUGCUUCUUCUGAUGUCAUAAUUAUUGUCACUACUAUUCAGCUUGAAAAUACGAAAAGAUCUGCUGACUUUAUUAUCUUCAACUAACCUCAUGACCAUCAAUAACACUUUAUGUUUUGAUUCCAAGAGAUAAAAAAAGCAGCGGUCAUUAAACCCCAAAAGCAAAUUACCAUUAAACACUGGGCCCGCUAUCUUUAUCUCCUUCCAUGGAUGACCUAUCCCAACACUGGUGUUGCCAUUAAGGAUUUCACUGUUGUAAAGAAAGAGCUCUCCACUGUUACUAAUGGUGUAAAACUUUCCACCACUAAAAGUAUAGUCUUCUGACUUUUCAUGCAAGAUGACCCAUGAUGUUGAUGAGGCUGGUCGACAAAAAGCUAGGUAAUUAUUGUAAUCAUCGUAGCCACCCCAAUGUCCUCGUUUAUUAGAAAACUUGAGACAAAUCAUGCAUUCAUGAUCAGUCGGUGAAGCUCCAGAUGACACAAAUUUCAUAUGGUAAAGCAUGUGAAUUUGUGGUAGAACGGGAAGUUGGAGAAGAACUAAUGUGAUAGGAUUAUAAAGAAAUGGUAGGUUAUCAUAAUUGCCUAGAAGUAACCACCCAUCACAUGAAGCAAAAGUUCUCAAAUGAAAGAGAUCAAGGGUAAAGGAAAAGCUAGCAUCACUUUUAUUAAUAUCAAGGCUAGGAGGGUGUUUAUAAAAAUUGUAUAAAUCUGUUUUUAAAUUUAUCUUCGUGGAUGCAUCUAUAGUAGACACUAACCACGGAGUUGUAGGCAAGAUGUGAUUCCGCCAUAUUUGUUUAGCAACAGAUCGCCAUGAAUGGCAAACAGCAAGACACUGAUAAAGAUCAAUCAUGUUAAAGUUUUUUCUAUUAUGGACGAAUCCAAAGAUGAUGAAGAGUAUAUCAACAGGCAGGUCAGCCCAAGACAUUCUGCUGGUCUGAUUAAUGAUGCAAGGGAUGUUCCUGUAAAAAAAAGUAGGUGAUAAAUAGUAAGAAACUGCACGGGGCAUUAUAAACAACAUAAAAUGUAAACAUUUAGGUCACCAUCUGAUGUCACAAGGAUUGUUAGAAGUUGCCAAGCUUUUGAACUUUACUGAUGGGGAAUAAUAACAAAAGGGAUAUCUUUUAUUUACUAGUAGCUAAUUUAGUUAUAUGUAAAAUUAGUUUCAACCUAAAACAGGUUUAGUGUGUAUCCUACUUAUGAUGGUAGUGACUAUGUAUGUUGACUGUGUGUACAAUCUAGCUGUUAGUAGUUGCAGCUAGAUAUUUUUGCUAGUUAGGUGGGAGUUGAACUACUAAUUUUACCUGGCUGUGUUGGUCUGUGAACAGCCUAUUUAUAUGCAUGUAUUAGCUCCUUAUGGAGGCAGACUUUGAUUUUAUAUAUAACUUCUUCUCUGAAUAUUGAUAAUGUAUCAAUUUGGGGAUAGCUUGGGGUAGAGAUUGUCCUGCGGUUCAAUCUCCUGAGGUUUAUAAUCACUGUUCUUGUUGUGUUUAUCAUUAUCUUGUUAUUAUAAUCUUAUUCUUGUCAUUGUGCUGCGUCAAAUUGGCGUCAGAGCUAAAAUUCUGGUCGUUAUCAUUGUUAAAGUUCAUCCUACUGUUAAUGUUCAUCAUCUGCUAUAUUCACUCUGAUUUCUGUCCAAACCUGACCAAUUCUACAUAUAAUCCAGAAACCUAAUUUCAGUCCCUGAAUACCAUUCUUCUUUACCAAAAAAUCAGGAACAUAACACCAUCAUAUCACUACCAUGGCACCACCAGAUUCAACCAUUUCCAUUUGCUGCCCAGUAACCUACAAAGCUGCACCAUUCUUAUUUUUUUUAAACCCUUUAAACACUCGGUUUCAGUUCUCACAACGCAAUCCAUACACUUACUAAUUGAAACAAGCAUCACACCCACAAUUACUCACCAAAGCAGAAAAGAUAACAGGUCUGGGAAAAGAGAUCAAGAAAGAUCAUAGAGAGAAGCAACAGGGAGGAAGAUUGACAAGAAAGAAAAACAGAGAAAAAGAAACUUAUUAAAAACGGCUGCUUUUCUAAACUGCUGCUGUAUUUAAAACAAAUAUGUGCAGCCUUUGUAACCUCUGAUCUACUGACUGUUCAGACCCUUAAACUUCUGAAUUUGAGAAAAUCAGCCCCAAUUCUGUCUAUUAAAUCAUGUCCAAGCGUAUAAAGUCUGGAAUUGAGAUAGUAAAGGAUAAUAUACACUGUCUUCAGGAUGAAUGUGAUUCCUUACACUAUGAGAUUUAUGCCUGUUAUCAUCGAAACAAGCUAUUUGAAUAUGAGCUUACAUUGAAGGAGUUAGAUAAAUCAUAUUAUGAACUUGAAAACUUGAAACAAAAGUACAAAGUUCAAUUGAGAAAAGAAGAGGAAAAGAGUAAGAAGAGACAACAGAGGUUUUAUGAAAUGUUUAUACCUCAACUUCUUAGCGGGAAUCACAAAUCCAAUUUGGAGAAGGAAGAAAUAGUCAAAGGAGAUGAAAUUGCACAUGAAAUCAAUCAUGUUGAAGAUUGUGUAAAAGACAAGCAGUCUCCUAUACUAUAUGGUUUGGGUUGCUAGGAUAAUGAUAGUACUACAGUUCAAUGGUUAUUCUAUAAAGCUGAUUAUCUAUUCUGGGCAUCAUCAGCUGUCACGAAGUUAUCGAGAUGAUCUCAGAAGAUUUAUAUUUUUACAGUUUCAUUAGACGGUGAGUGCUACCAACCAAGUGAGAACUGAAAAUGGAGAAAAACUGGUUAAAUAUCUUUUCUCCAGAUUACCCAAAACUUGAGGGAAAUGUGAUAAUGGUUGUGGUAGUCGAUGUCAUAAUAAUUACUUAACUAGGCCCAGGUCUUACAACGAAUCAUCCAUAUACCUCAAUCAAUGUGUCAAACUGUAAUGCAAGUGAGAAAAGCAGCCUAUUCACUAGUGUAUUUAGUAAAUAAGACACCAAUUUGGAACAUAAUUGGUCAUAAGCACAUCAUACCAUUCCAAGCUAACUAAAAAAACUGCACAAAUUAAUCACUACUACACAUUUGGACUUACAUAGCGGUCAUUUUUAAACUUACAUAGCGGUUCUAGGCACUAUACAAGACAGCGCUAUGCAAGUACAAUAAACUUACAUAGCGCUUCAUUUUCCACUCUCUAAGAACAAUACCUACAUAGCGUCUGAAGAAGCGUUAUCUAAAUAAGCAUCAUCCAAGUCAAUUCUACUUCAAUACCACUUCUAUAAACGCUGUACAAGUAGCAUAUGUAUAUGACAAUCUUCCUUGCAUAGUUCUUAUAUAAACAUUGUGCAAGUAAAAGUACCAUCUUCACUACUUAUUUACAUAACUAUUAUUCAAACGCUAUCCAAGUGGAAAUUUUAUAAAAAUCCUUAAAAAAAAUUGAAAUAAAAAAUCCUAACUUUUUUAAAAAAAAUACUAAUAUAAUUAAUUUUCUGCCCUUUUUUAAAUUACACAAUCAAUUCGAGAAAAUUCACAAAUUAUUUUAAAAAAAUAUGUGACCCUUAUUCCAAUAAAAAUAAAUUAAUUAAUUACUCAUGAAUUUAUUUGUUUACAACUAAAAUCAAUUCCAAAUAAACAUAUAUUGAACAUAAAACAUGAAAUCCUCUAUAAUUAAAUAUUUCACAAUUCAAAACACUACUGUACAUAAGUUUGCCUGAUAAUGUUUUCACAAAAUUAAAUACAUCUCCUAAUUUCUUUUUCUUGGUUCUUGGAGAAAGAGAGUGAACAUUAUAGCUAUAUAAAUAUAUUUAUUUAUGUAAACUACAAUCAACAGAAUGGUUAGGAGAAAAGCCUGACUUCUGAACUAGACCUACUUAAAAAAAACAGAGAAUAAAAGGAAAAACUAAUAAAUAAAAAAACCUUGAUAAAUCAGAUAUGCUGUCGGCCUCAGGCCUCAUUAGAAGCUGCUCAGAACCAACACUGCUACCACACUAUGUCUUCCAAUCGAUCAUCAAAUUCUAAAUAAAAGUUGGUGGCUGAGUUAAAUUUUACCAAUUUUUAUCAGCUACAGUUUUUAAUAACAGUAAUUCAAAAGACUGAUCUUAAUUUUGGUAUGCUCUGUUAAAAUAUUUCCUAGUCUUAUAUCAGCUUCAUCUUAAGUUAGAAUUAUCAUUACUAUUCCUAUAGUUAUCUGCACUGAAACACUUGAUUUUAGGUAAGUGUUCUGGAGAAAAGCCUGACUUCUGAACUAGAUGUACUUCAAAAAAACAGGGAAUAAAAGAAACACUUAUCAUGGGAGAAACCUCGCUAAAUCAGAUUAUAGAUGGAAAAGUUAAAAUUAACUCCCUUCAUGAAAAAGAUUAUACGACUAAAAUCAAGCCAGUAGUUCUAAAGCCAACAUACUUAAUAAAAACUUGUCGAAAUAGAUGCAUCAUCAAAUGUAAAGCUAAAGGUUUGAUUUGGUAAAGAUGUACCUAGAAAUAAGGGCUACAUGUUUUAUGAGAAAAUAGCUAGCAGAAUACGCAAGUGAUGAGAUAAACAAUUCAUAUGCUAUAAAUAGACAUAACAGGAGCAUAUAUGAUGUACCGAGUGGAACAAAAAAAACUAUGUUUUGGGAGUGAGGAGUUAGAGCUGUAGCUCUGAGAGAAAAAAGAAAGGCAGAUUAUAAAAAGUUAACAAAGACUAGAUUCAUUGUACAAAACCUGCUGGUGAUUAAACUGAGGAAAUAUGCAAAUGCCCUAUCGAUUCCUAAACCAAAUCAAGAAUUCUAUUUUUUUUAAUUUAAACAGAGCCCAUUAUGUUGAUUCAAAUAUUGAGCAUAAGUACAUGUAUAAAUAAACUGUACCUCUGCUUGCUAGGAUAUAUUUACAAGCAUAUUUUUUAAACAACAAAAGCAACUCAGCCACAUUAAGAACAUAAAAAAGAUACAUCAACACAUCACAGGAGGCAACAGGAAUUGAAAUAACUGUUUUCAACACAUAACUUGUAUACAUAUACGCAGAUCAUAAGAAUAGAGCAGAGCACAUAAAUCAAAACCCUAAAACAUUAAAAUCUAACAAAUUGAAGAUAACCCAAUCAAGAUAAUUAAUCACAAAUUGAAUAUAAUAGGAGACAAAUCAAACCCCUUGAAUAUACACACAUAUAUAUACACACACAAGUUAGAAUAAUACCUAAUUUCUUUAAUAAAUGAGUUUGAUUCAGAAAUGUAGACAGUGGAUGUGGGUUGUAAACGGAGGAGUAAGAUGCAGCAAUUGAUCACCGAGGCACCGAUGGGUUUAGCCGUUCAGCAAUGCAUGGUGAGGACUGUUUCGCCCAAUCUAUCAGUGUACGUGGUGAUUUUUUUAGUGUACGAGCAGUUAUCUGUAAAAAAUAAAACUACUUAGGAUAUGUUAACUACAAGAAUGGUUUUAUAAAUGCUAUAGAAGUAUUAAUAAUUUAAAAUAUAUAAAAAUAAUAUUAUUUGAAAUAUGUAUACUUCCACAACGUUUAUAGAAAUGCUAUUGUAAUAUGUAUUAUUAUAUUACUUUUAAUACAUGUACUUUUAUAGCGUUUAUAGAAUUGUUAUUGUAGUGAUAUUCAUUUUUUAUUAUUUAUUUAAUUCUUUUAACAGUAGCUUAUAUACCGGUUUUUGCAAAGACGCUAUACAAGUAAUAUUACCUAGAAGGGUGAGGUUCAAAUCAGAACAUAUACUAAAAUUAGAACUUAGGACCGUAGACAUCCGUCAGAUUUAUUUAAAAUCUAUGGCUAUGAUCUAAAGGGCAUGUAUAUUAAAUCAUUUAAUAUCUUCCCUCAUUAAAGCACACAUUAUGUUUUACAUUAUAUUAUGUAAUAAAUUAUAUAUUAUAUCUCACUAUUUCAAGAAAUAUAUCACACAUGAUAUAAUUAUCGUAUACCAUUGCAGUAUAUCUAAGCAAUAGAUAAAAUAAUCAACUCAAUUCAUAAAUAUAUUAUAGUAUACCAUUGCAGUAUAUUUAAGUUACAGAUGAAAUAAUGAAUUCACUAAUUAUUUCAUUUUGUCUUAUAUCGUAUUUUUGAAUGGAAUAUAUUAUUUUAUCUAUUACUUACAUAUACUGCAAUGGUAUAUACUAUAGUUAUGUUAUUUUUGUAUUAGUUCGACAAUAGUGUAAGAGUAUAAUUUAUGAUAUACUGCAAUAGUAUUUUUUUUUAUUUUAAUGAAUAUAUGUCAUAAAAAGAUAUAUUUAUUAUAUAUUUUAAAUAUAUAAAAAAUGAUAUAUUGAAUAUAUUGGUAUACUGUAGUUUAUAUGUUCCUUAACAAUAGUAUGAUAUAAUUAAAAACACAUAAGAAAUAAUCUAUUUACAAAAUAGAGUAUACUGCAGAAUAUAUAAUAAUUAAAAUUAAAACUAAAACUAGUUAUGGUAAGUAAGUCAUUUUAUUUAAAGUGAUUAGUUGAUGGUCAUAAAUAUGUACAUAUUUAAUGCUUAUAGUACUUCAUAAUUAAACGUAAUUUCAAUCUCAACCAUAUAAUAUACUUAGAUCUAAUGGUCCUCAGUGAGUUCUAAGUUCUAACAAUAACUUGGUUCUAUCUCGAACUUGACCCUUACCUAGAAGGGUGAGGUUCAAAUCAGAACAUAUACUAAAAUUAGAUGUAUACUUUCAUAACAUUUAUUGAAACGCUAUUCUAGUUAUCCUAAUAUUACUUAAAAUAUGUAUCCUUCUACAGCAUUUAUAGAAAUACUAUUGUAGUUGUAUAAUAUUGCUUAAAAUACAUAUACUUGUAUAGCGGUUAUAGAAUUAUUAUUGUAGUAAUAUCCUUUUUUUUAAAAUUAUUUUCAAUCCUUUUUAAUAGUAGGUUAUAAACCGUUUUUUGUAAAAAUGCUAUACAAGUAAUAUACUUGGAUAACGUAUACGAAAAAACACUAUCCAAGUACCAUGACAGCAAUGAUUCGCUAUGAACCCCCUUGAUAUCUUGUGCCAUAUCUCGGCUACAUUCAGAGAACUAUUUGUGUUUUAUUGAUCUCUUUUCAGGUGGUUUAAUUUAUAGAAAAGAUGAUGAAGCUUGGUGAUUCAAUCCAAGCUUUCAAGCACUUGAUCUUUUCUUUUCUUAUUGGAGCUUGAGAGGACAAGUAGAUAAGAUGCAAUAAUUAUCUUCAACCAAUGACUUAUAUAAAGUAUAGUUUUAUAACUUAUUCUUAAAAAAAAUUGUUUAUGAAUAAAAAAUUAAUCAUUAAACUUUUAUUUAGAAGGAAAAAAAGUUUUAAAAUAAGUAAUACUUUCCUUUUUUGAUGUCCCACUCAAUUCUAUACAUUUCAUUUCAAAAUUUUCCUAAAAUAAUAACCUUUUAUAAUAUAAAAGUCUCAACUACCCAUAACUUUCAUCAACUUUUUCAAAUCUAUCAAUUAAAUAUUGUUGGGUCCCGCCACUUUACCCACAUUUCUUUCUCUUUUUCCACUACUUUAGCUUAUUUUAUACACUUUUCUUAAUCUCCAUGUCCAUUCCAAACGUAUAUAACUCCGAGGGACGGAGGAAGUAACUCAAUUGGGCGGAGGGACUAAUAUUUUCAUUGAAUAUUAGACCUUAUCAACCUUUGAGGGAUUUACUUUUUCUUCAUCAAUCUUAUUUUCCACAACUGUGAAUCAAUUUACCACACUACAAUGACACUGAUAUUGUUAUACCACAUAUACAGUACAUGGUUUAUCAGCAGCUGAUGAAAAUCUGGCGAUGCUAUGCGUAAAUUUGAAGCUUGUUUGGUUUUGUUUCCAUGCGUUUAAACUUGAGCUAUCAACAAUAGUAGAGCCAUCCAUAGAUUCCUGAAUCAGAAUCUAUUAGAAAGUCAUAUACUAUGAUCAGAAUAUAUUCUAGCUAGCCUUAUUCUUGGUGGGUGCAGCUUAUCUAUCUUAUAUUCAUUAAUUUCUGCUGAAGUCAAUCGUAAAUGCAACUUAAGCACCUGAGCGUUGUAAUUUAUUUUCUUACUUUCCAUAAUCCUACUUGUAAAACAAUUUUAAGCUCUUUGUACUCGUAACAGGAACACAUAAACUGUUUCAUUUACUUGAUUUAUGAUUACUUUGACCUUCUCGUACUCCUCCAAAACAUCAACUGGAGUUCCAUUUGUGUUUGCAGUUGAAGGAUUUUGGUCUAAAAUGUUCCACAAUUCUGGUACACAGCUUAAUCCAAAUAUGACAGUAUAAAAUGCAGGGUGUACGUUCACUUACAUGGAAUGGAAUGAGGGGAUAAUGGAAUGAAAAAUUAUAUAUAAGUUUUAUGAAGAAAGAAUAAAGUAUAAGAUGAUAGUGACUAAAUAUGAAUAGGUUUAAAUUUCUUGUGAUAAAGAUUGUAAGGAAACAUGAUGUAGAAAUGGAAUGAGCAUUACUUCCAAAACAUGUGGAUUAGAAUUCCAGUUGAAAUAGUAGGAAUGGAAUGAUUGAAAGAAUGAAAAUUAUAGAUAUUUAGAGGGGUGUAUUGGAUUGGGAUUUUAAAGCAUUUUUUUGCAUUCAUGAAAUCCGAGGGUAUUCGAUUGGGAUUGUUUGAAAUCCAUUAAAAUCUUGAGGUAUUCGAUUGGGAUUUUAAGCUAUGCUACAAAAUCUGGUGGUAUUCAAUUGGGAUUUUAAAUUAUGCUUUAAUAUCCGAAGGUAUUCAAUUGGGAUUGUUUAAAAUCCAUUAAAAUCUGAUGGUAUUCAAAUGCUGAUGGAUUUUUUUUCAUUUCAUAAAAUGAUGGAUUUUGUGGCAUUCUUCAGUGUAUUUUAAGUUUUUUGAAAUCCCACCAAAUUCAAUGGGAUUUUGAAGCAUUGUACCUAAAUCCUAUCAACUCUGCGACAUUUCAUCAAGAAUCCGCAAAAAAUCAAAAUCCCAUACAAUCCAUUAAAAUCCAUAGACUAAAAACAAUGCAUUAAAAUCCCAAUCGAAUACACCCCCGUUAAUCUAAUCAACAGUUAGAGUACAAAAUUCAUUCUAUUCUCCCUCAUUUCCGUUUCACCCAUGUGAACACAACCUAAAGUCUAAUGAUCAUUCGAUAGUCAUAGAGCUUGUAUAUUCUGUUAUGACAUUGUUUCUGCUUUUGGUAAUCCUGCAACUAUGUAUGCCACCGUAUGGCAUUGAACAUACGUUAACAAAUUGAGCAAAAUCAAUAUCAAACGAAAAAGUUUGCACCCAAAGUUGGGGAAACGUCAAUUUAUUGACAGUGUUGAACCUUUUUUCAGCCUAGUUGAUAAGUUCGAAAUUAAUGGCAUAGAUUUGCUCAAGCACUUACUCGACUUUGGAGCGAAAAAAAAAAGAUAUAGUCUUGUGGGAUUAUUACACAGAAUCUGAAUCUGCUGCCUUGCAAGAGAUGCUUGAUGUUGGUGAGGAAUUGAUUAGGAAUUUGGAUUAAUCUGGAUACCGGUCCUAUAAAUAGCACCACUACAAGAGAGGUUACCACAAGGCAGAACCAAAUACUUACACAUUUAGUUAUAAGAUGGCUCAAGUUGCGAAGAUUGAUGUGGCACAAACUGUGAAAAUGGGAGAAAAACUCCCUCCUGUUGCUGACUUGAAGCAGCAGAUGGUAUGUCUACUAAUUAUGACUGUGUAAUUAUAUACGUAUUCCGUCCCGCUCAUUAUGUCCUCAUUUCCUAUUCUGCUUGUCCAAAAACUAUUAUUUACAUGUAUUAAAGAGUAGAUUUCAAGGGAGGGGCCAAACUUUACAGACUCUAGCCACAAUAUUGUCAUUUUCGAAUGUCAACCACUUUUUUGUAACACUCUGAAAAGUUUGGUCACACCCUUAAAUUAACUCUAUAUUAAAUAUAGUAAAUUGAGUAUUAAUUAUGUUAAUAUUUUUUUAAACAAUACAACUUUUUGGUAAUUAUCGACUAAUCUAAUGUGAAUGAGGGAAUAUUAUAUGAUACAUAAACAUUAUCGUAACCUUAACUAUUCAUGUCUGCUGUAGGAUGUUGUGCCUGCUAAGGAUCUCACUUAUGCAAACCCUCAAUCAUGGAAAUUCCAGUAAGUACAUAUUAGUGCAUUAAAAAUUAAAAUAGUAAAAUGAACUGACUGAACAUGGAAUGAUGGAGUCGGACUAACUCUAUUGUAUCCAAUAAAAUUUUCUAAAUUCUUCUGUAUGCCUGUGUAUGCAGUGGUGAAACUGCUGAAUUUGUGGGAAAAGGCGAUCCAACGGUCCAUGGAACUUAUGAUGUGAAAAAACUUGACAAAGGACUGGUGUACGAGGUGUAUUUUUAUGUGACUAUGAAAGACAAUCAGGUGACAAGUCCAGUGAAACUAAUCUUGGAGCUUCCAAAUGGAACCAAGCAAGAGAAGACUGAACAAAUAACACUAGAUCCACUUGUCUGGAAAGCAGUAUCAGUUGGGAAAUUCUUGAACCUGUUUCAAACUGGAGACAUCAAAUUCACAUUCUCCGGUGUCACUGGUGAUACCUGGAAGGGUAUGCUCCUCGAAUGCGUCCUGAUUAGCCCUUCCUUUUGAAUCCACCAACAAAAAUAAAUAAUCUGCUUAACAGCCAACAAAUUAACUUCUAUGCUUAGAUGGUUGUUAGGUAGUUGAUUAAUAUAUGCACUUAUGUAAUAAAACGACUACCACUGGUUGGUAGCUGCCUAGCUUGUCAUACUAUCAAGUUGAUUAAUGGGCAAAAU